rnacentral:rRNA from 1 species
UGGGGGAUAUUGCACAAUGGGGGAAACCCUGAUGCAGCGACGCCGCGUGGGUGAGGAAGUAUUUCGGUAUGUAAAGCCCUAUCAGCAGGGAAGAAGAUGACAGUACCUGACUAAGAAGCCCCGGCUAACUACGUGCC